CCCGCACAAGCGGUGGAGCAUGUGGUUUAAUUCGAUGCAACGCGAAGAACCUUACCUACCCUUGACAUCCAGAGAAUCUGUUAGAGAUAAUUGAGUGCCUUCGGGAACUCUGAGACAGGUGCUGCAUGGCUGUCGUCAGCUCGUGUUGUGAAAUGUUGGGUUAAGUCCCGUAACGAGCGCAACCCUUAUCCUUAGUUGCCAGCACGUAAUGGUAGGAACUCUAGGGAGACUGCCGGUGAUAAACCGGAGGAAGGUGGGGACGACGUCAAGUCAUCAUGGCCCUUAUGGGUAGGGCUACACACGUGCUACAAUGGCCAGUACAGAGGGCUGCAAACUUGCGAGAGUAAGCAAAUCCCAGAAAGCUGGUCUUAGUCCGGAUUGGAGUCUGCAACUCGACUCCAUGAAGUUGGAAUCGCUAGUAAUCGCGAAUCAGAACGUCGCGGUGAAUACGUUCCCGGGCCUUGUACACACCGCCCGUCACACCAUGGGAGUGGGUUGCAAAAGAAGUGGGUAGACUAACCUUCGGGAGGUCGCUCACCACUUUGUGGUUCAUGACUGGGGUGAAGUCGUAACAAGGUA
rnacentral:rRNA from 1 species